GGGCCCGCACAAGCGGUGGAGCAUGUGGUUUAAUUCGAUGCAACGCGAAGAACCUUACCAGGGUUUGACAUAGUACGAAGUUUUGAAAAAAUCAAACCUCGGACGUACAUACAGGUGGUGCAUGGCUGUCGUCAGCUCGUGUCGUGAGAUGUUGGGUUAAGUCCCGCAACGAGCGUAACCCUUGUUUUUAGUUGCCUUUCGAGGAUAUUUAGAAAGACUGCCGAUUAUAAAUCGGAGGAAGGUAAGGACGACGUCAAGUCAUCAUGCCCCUUACACUCUGGGCUACACACGUGCUACAUUGGGUAGAACAAUAAGUUGCUAAGUUGCGAAACCAAGCG
rnacentral:rRNA from 1 species